rnacentral:rRNA from 1 species
UGCGUAGGUGGUCGUUUAAGUCUGUUGUGAAAGCCCUGGGCUCAACCUGGGAACUGCAGUGGAAACUGGACGACUAGAGUGUGGUAGAGGGUAGCGGAAUUCCUGGUGUAGCAGCGAAAUGCGUAGAGAUCAGGAGGAACAUCCAUGGCGAAGGCAGCUACCUGGACCAACACUGACACUGAGGCACGAAAGCGUGGGGAGCAAACA